GGCCCGUUGGUCUAUCGGCAGAGGACGCCAGCCCCUCAAGCUGGCAGGAUGGGUUCGACUCCCAUACGGGCUA
rnacentral:tRNA from 1 species